CCUACGGGUGGCUGCAGUGAGGAAUAUUGCACAAUGGGGGAAACCCUGAUGCAGCGACGCCGCGUGGGUGAUGAAGGCCUUCGGGUUGUAAAGCCCUUUUGCCACUGACGAGAACGGACGGUAGGUGGCGAAUAAGCCUCGGCUAACUACGUGCCAGCAGCCGCGGUAAAACGUAGGAGGCGAGCGUUAUCCGGAGUUACUGGGCGUAAAGCGUGCGCAGGCGGUGCCAUAAGUCAGGUGUGAAAGAUUCCGGCUCAACCGGGAAAACGCGCUUGAGACUGUGGGACUAGAGUGGGAUAGAGGGGCGUGGAAUUCCGGGUGGAGCGGUGAAAUGUGUAGAGAUCCGGAGGAACACCAGAGGCGCAAGCGGCGCCCUGGGUCCCAACUGACGCUGAGGCACGAAAGCUUGGGGAGCGAACGGGAUUAGAUACCCCUGUAGUC
rnacentral:rRNA from 1 species